CCUACGGGGGGCUGCAGUGGGGAAUAUUGGACAAUGGGGGGAACCCUGAUCCAGCCAUGCCGCGUGUGUGAAGAAGGCCCUCGGGUUGUAAAGCACUUUCAGUGAGGAAGAACGCCUGGUGGUUAAUACCCAUCAGGAAAGACAUCACUCACAGAAGAAGCACCGGCUAACUCCGUGCCAGCAGCCGCGGUAAUACGGAGGGUGCGAGCGUUAAUCGGAAUUACUGGGCGGAAAGCGCGCGUAGGUGGCUUGAUAAGCCGGUUGUGAAAGCCCCGGGCUCAACCUGGGAACGGCAUCCGGAACUGUCAAGCUAGAGUGCAGGAGAGGAAAGUAGAAUUCCCGGUGUAGCGGUGAAAUGCGUAGAGAUCGGGAGGAAUACCAGUGGCGAAGGCGGCCUUCUGGACUGACACUGACACUGAGGUGCGAAAGCGUGGGUAGCAAACAGGAUUAGAUACCCGAGUAGUC
rnacentral:rRNA from 1 species